UACGAAGGGGGCUAGCGUUGCUCGGAAUCACUGGGCGUAAAGGGUGCGUAGGCGGGUCUUUAAGUCAGGGGUGAAAUCCUGGAGCUCAACUCCAGAACUGCCUUUGAUACUGGGGAUCUUGAGUCCGGGAGAGGUGAGUGGAACUGCGAGUGUAGAGGUGAAAUUCGUAGAUAUUCGCAAGAACACCAGUGGCGAAGGCGGCUCACUGGCCCGGUACUGACGCUGAGGUGCGAAAGCGUGGGGAGCAAACAGGG
rnacentral:rRNA from 1 species